AGAGUUUGAUCAUGGCUCAGGAUGAACGCUGGCGGUAUGCUUAACACAUGCAAGUCGAACGGAAGCCUUCGGACUUUAGUGGCGGACGGGUGAGUAACGCGUGAGAAUCUGCCUUCAGGUUGGGGACAACAGUUGGAAACGACUGCUAAUACCCAAUGUGCCGAGUGGUGAAAGCUUUAGUGCCUGAAGAGGAGCUCGCGUCCGAUUAGCUAGUUGGAGUGGUAAUGGCACACCCAGGCGACGAUCGGUAGCUGGUCUGAGAGGAUGAUCAGCCACACUGGGACUGAGACACGGCCCAGACUCCUACGGGAGGCAGCAGUGGGGAAUGUUCCGCAAUGGGCGAAAGCCUGACGGAGCAAUACCGCGUGCGGGAGGAAGGCCCUUGGGUUGUAAACCGCUUUUCUCAGGGAAGAAGUACUGACGGUACCUGAGGAAUCAGCAUCGGCUAACUCCGUGCCAGCAGCCGCGGUAAUAC
rnacentral:rRNA from 1 species